CCGGGAACUCUCUUUUAUUGAAUAUUACAAACAUUGCCACAGGUGUGCUUGUGGCUGAUUGGCUGAUACAAACACAAAGCAUCUUGUUGCUGAUUGGUUAACAUAGGUACAAGGCGGGAAUAACAUUUUACAUUAAUCAGUGAUAGUUCAAAAGACUGGGAACGGAGCUGGAACUAGACAGGCAUGAAUCCUCCUAAUUAAAUUGUAACUAAGAUUGAUAUUGAGAGAACAUAACAUGAAGGAAUACAACAAUCACGUUCUGUAAAUGUGGUCAGCAAAGCAUUAAGAACAGGUCAGGAUACACUGUUUCAUGAACUCAAUGGGAACUGUUCAGAACAUUCUCAGACUCUUGUGCAGAAGCAGAGAGAAGAUUAUGAGCGAGACUUCCCAGAAUGCAAGAAAAGAAGCAAUAGUGCUCAUAGUAAGCAUAGAAAGAUUUCAUAGUAAGACUUCCCACAAUGCCACAGUUAUGUGCAGUAAGAGAACUGCAGAAAGAGAACUUCACAGUGAGAGAACUGCAGAAAGAAAACUUCCCUUCAACCCCUGAAAGCUAUAGAUUGUAGGCUUUUGAUAUCAGGGAACUAUUUUUUUAAAAAAUCAAUGUACACUAGUGUUACUGUACAUGGUCUAAAUAAUUGGCCCAGGGUUGUGGGUGAGCUGUCAGGGUAACGGUGACCUGCCCUCCUUUUUAAGCUGCUGGCUUAAAAGUCACCAACCACCGGUGGUGUAGCACAGGCUGAUGGUGCCCGGGGAAGGCACAUGCACACUGGGGAAGCACACUGGGGUAACAGAACUUUGAUAAGAGGAGAAGCCGGGAAAUCAAGAAGAAUGCUGUACUGAUCAUGGAAAAUACUAAGAAAUGAACUAGACUGUCGGCAGUCCUUCUCUGCUUCUCUUGGCGCGUUUCCAGUAGAUAGCCAGGCCUUCCCAUCACCUGAAGUUAGUAUUUGAGAAAACAGAAGAGGAGGCACUGAAUCGCUCAGGUGGGUGGGGACCCAACCAUAGUGUUUGCUUUAUAUUCUGCAGUCUCAGAUGCAGAGAAGUCCUCGUCCCUUGAAUUGAUAGCCUGGCAUUUGCAAUUUCAGCAAUUGGACCGGGAUGAGAUGGGGUUGUUGUUGGUUUUUUUUAGUUCUGGGCACCUGAGGGGCCUGCAGACAGUGGCUGAUGCUCCUGAAAAGGCGCUGAGAAAGAAAGAAAGAAAGAAAGAAAAAGAAAGAAAGAAAGAAAGAAAGAAAGAAAGAAAGAAAGAAAGAAAGAUCUGGGCAGCAGGAAAUCUUGACGAAGCAGCUUGAAAACAUUCAGAAAGAAAAAGAAGAGUUAAAAGCAUGCCAGAGGGGCCUGCAGACUGGGGUGUGCCAAAAAUCUGGCCACCACGAAAACUGUGGUGAGUGAGAAGAUGGAUUGGGUAGGGCUGCCAUUAUGUCUGGAUUUUCCCAGACAUUACCAGGAUUUCAAAGGCGGAAGUGACAUCCAGGGAGAAUUUCCAGAAGGUGUUGUUCUGUCCUGGAUCUCUGGCAAGUAAACGAAAAAAUCGUGGGUUUUUGAGCAUUUUCGUUAAAAAGCUCAACAACCCUGGGGUGUCCUGCCUUUUACAUUUUGAAAUAUGGCAACUCUAGGAUUGUGGGGGGAUGUUUGGUGGAAGGCAAUUUGUUCUGAUUAUACAAUAAAGAGGAUUCAUUCUGAUUACAUUCUGGUUUGUUGCAUGGAGGUUAUUUGUCUUUAACCAAUUGUUUAUUCCGCACCUUUUCUAUCAUACAAUUAUUUUAUUGAUUUGUUUUUAAAAAAAUGAAACAUAACCAAAAAAAAGAGAGCAAAACAUUUUUAAAAAGCCUUAAAGCAUCACAGCCUGGAAGGACAAAAGUACAUAGAUACAGCACAGAAAGUACUAAUUCGUACAAAGGCCCUCUGCACCAGUAAUAAAGAUAUGAGUACAGAGUUGGUAGCUUUGGGGACAAGGGAGGGCAAACAGCAAGCCGCCUGUGCGUGGCAGAUCUUAAUGCUCAAUUUGUUGCUGCCAUUAUUUACUUCUCUCCGCAAAAUGUGGGUGAAAAGGGAAGGAGAGAAAGUGCUGAAGGUCAUACUUCAUUGAUUAUGUCCCAGUGUGUGCACUUUGAGCUGCCUCACAGCUGUUUAUUGUGCAAGCACAGGCCAGGGUUCAGUGGCACCACAAUCAGGGUCAGACUUUGAGGCAGAAGUCCUGGGCCUCAGCAGAAUGAGAAGGAGAGCCCCCAACACAUAAAAUGCUGGUGACAUUUUGAAGUAAAUGAAGUACUGUAAUACAAAUUACUAUCUAAUGCAGGGUGUGUGUAAAACUAUUGCAGUGUAGCAUACUGUUACUCUGAGAAGGCCCACUGAAAUUAAUUGACAUAAGUUAUUCAUCUUCAUUUAAUGCCAGUGGGUCUAGUCUAACUAACAUUGCUUACUAUCAAUUAGGAAGAAUUAAGCAUCGCACUAAGGUGAGUUUUUGUCUUCAUUGCAUAGCCCUGCAUUAUAGUAUGAGGAAGAAAAACUACUCUGUUUUUCCCCACACCAGUGCAUAAUUUUUAUACGCCUCUAUUGUGUCCCCCGUUAACUCGCCUUUUCUAUAAACCAAAAAGCCUCAAUUGUUAUAAUUUGCAAGGGGGUUCUUCCAAUCCCUUGAUCAACUAUUAUUUUCAUUUGUGGGAGUUGGAGCCGUUUUCUCUGAACUUAAUUAUACACUCUGACCUUUUAGGGGCUUGAAAUUUAGGAACAUGUGAACCAGGAGUCUUUGCGGCCUGAGCCUCUUAGUUUUUGAAGUGUGUCUAAAUCUUUCUGCAAUCAUAAUCAGAAGUAUUGGAAAAAAUGUAAAAUUCAUAAAGGUUAGAAAAUUAUUUCCAGCACUCAAAAUAUUGAUUUGGUACGAGAAACUUUCCUUUGGGAAUUUUUUCCUCGAAAGCCAAGGUUACAAAUACAUGGGCACAGUUGAUAGCACAAAAAUAAAAGUUUAGUGACAUUGUUUUUGGUAAUACAAUCUCCUGUUUCACCUGAAAAUAUUUACUUGUUGGUGGCUGCAAAAAUGGUCAUUCAUAGUAGCCCUAACUUGGGCCUUGCAUCUUCAGCAUUAUUUUAUUUUUGGAACAUUAAUAUUUGCAACCAAUCCACAUGCAAGCCAAAGGAGGCUGACAUGCAACUGAGUGCUUACAUUAACCUGGGAAGAGUUUCUGAGAUGCCAACUUAAAAUAGAUCUGCCUGCCUGCAACAUGAGAUGUAUGAGGGUUUGCUUUAAAAAAAAAACUGGGAAUCCAUACCAGCCUCAGCCUCUCCUUUCCUUCUGAAACAUUAACUUUGGACUAUGUUGCAAGCUCGCUGUAACUUGUUCUCUUGCAGCACAGAAAUCCAACCUGCAUAAGGUGUGUAGGGGUGAGCUACACAACAGGGUUAUUGCAGAAUACUUUUUCUGCCAAACAUGCAAUGUGGGGAGAAAAGCAGUGAACAACAUUUCAGGGUUGUUGUUCUCUCUCAGCUUCAGUCCAACCUAAAACAGGGGCCUAGUACAGAUGGUCAACACUGCAGGGUUUGUGUCCUAAAACAUGGGUGUCUUCACACAACAUUUCUUAGGGAUUAAUUCCAUCUACUAGCACCCUCAAACUCUUAUUUGAGUUUGAUCCUUGAGGUGAUCAACAUUUGUAGCAUAUUUUAUAUUGACAACAAAAAAUAUUUUAUAUUAGCUAAUAUUGUAUAGUAACAACAACAAAUAAAAACCAUAACAUCUGUCAGGCCUUUGGUGUAGAUAAGGAACUGGGCACAAAAUAGGAGUCUGGCCUCAACUCACCCACUUUCUGCCUUAAAGUCCAUAUCAGGGAGGGAGAAUCUGCAGUCCUCUAAGAUAUUUUUUGGACUCCAACUCCUGUCAUCCCCCUAACCACAGGGCCACGCCAGUGUGGAUGGUAGCUCCCAUCAGCCCUAAAACUCCAUCUGGAAGACCACAGGUUCUCUAUCACUGGUCUAGACUGGCUGGCAGCAAUCCUGGGGUUUUAGACAUGGGCCUGUUCCUAACCCAUCAGUGGAGAGAAAGGGAACAGGAUGUGACCUGCAUGCAAAGCAUAUCCCCUACCACAGAACUAUGGCCCUCCCUAUCAAAACUCUUGAUGUAAUUGUACACAAGGUAACAUCAACAAUGUUUUUGGCAAUGUUUCAUCAAUGCAACUGUGCAAAUCAGUUAUGUAGAGAAAGGAAAUCAAAUGAAAACUGGAUGUUUGUCUCUACUACAACAAGGCUUGGGGAUCGUGGCCCACAGAUGUUGCUGGACUCCAACUCCCCUGACCCCUGACCUGAAAGAGCGUCUCCACUCCCAUCGUUUGGCCCAGAAACUGAGAUCCAGCUCCAAGGGCCUUCUGGUGGUUCCCUCACUGCAAGAAGUGAAGCUACAGGGAACCAGGCAGAUGGCCUUCUCAGUAGUGGCACCCACCCUGUGGAAUGUCCUCCCAUCAGAUGUCAAGGAGAUGAGGAGAUAUAACCUUUAGAAGACCGCUGAAGGUAGCCCUGUUUUGGGAAGCCUUUUAAUGUGUGAUGUCUUACUAUGUUUUUACAGAUGUUGGAAGCUGCCCUGAGUGGCUGGGGCAACCCAAUCAGAUGGGUAGAGUACAAAUAAUUUCCAGCACUCAAAAUAUUGAUUUGGUACGAGAAACUUUCCUUUGGGAAUUUUUUCCUCAAAAGCCAAGGUUACAAAUACAUGGGCACAGUUGAUAGCACAAAAAUAAAAGUUUAGUGACAUUGUUUUUGGUAAUACAAUCUCCUGUUUCACCUGAAAAUAUUUACUUGUUGGUGGCUGCAAAAAUGGUCAUUCAUAGUAGCCCUAACUUGGGCCUUGCAUCUUCAGCAUUAUUUUAUUUUUGGAACAUUAAUAUUUGCAACCAAUCCACAUGCAAGCCAAAGGAGGCUGACAUGCAACUGAGUGCUUACAUUAACCUGGGAAGAGUUUCUUACUAUGUUUUUACAGAUGUUGGAAGCUGCCCUGAGUGGCUGGGGCAACCCAAUCAGAUGGGUGGAGUACAAAUAAUAAAAUUGUUGUUGUUGUUGGCUGGAACCAAUGGAAGUUGAUCAUCACCUGAAGAGCUACAG